ensembl:processed_transcript
ACGCACUAACUUGCACAGCAUUGAAUGGAAAAGGCUUUGUCCAUGUCCAGUUGAGGGCAUCAAGAACACGCAGAUGGCCUAAACCUGUGUCAGUCUGGACAGACUGCAGAUCUGCUACUCAACGCCAAGGCUUUUGUAUGGAUGUCUGACUACUACUGUGUUCUCUAAAGGUAUUACUGGAGCAAAACAACAGCAUCCGUUACAGUGAAAUUUGUGUUCAUAAAAGAUAGUGAUAUGUGUAACAGGUCCAGUACAUUUGUCAUAAAGGUUAAAUCACAGUAAGUACUGUAAAAAUAACUUGUUUGCCUUUGCCACAACAGGUCAUGGUGUGUGCUUACUGCUCGUAGUAAACGCACACGCUGAUCUGAUGCGGGAGAGAUAUACGCAAACACAUUUGUAUUUACUG